UUUGGUGGCGAUGGCGGAGGGGUUCCACACGUACCCAUCCCGAACACGACCGUUAAGCCCUCUAGCGCCGAUGGUACUUGGACCG
rnacentral:rRNA from 1 species